rnacentral:rRNA from 1 species
UACGGAGGGUGCAAGCGUUGUCCGGAAUCACUGGGCGUAAAGGGCGCGUAGGCGGCUCAUGAAGGCUGUGGUGAAAGUCCGGGGCUCAACCUCGGAUCGGCCGUGGCGACUCGUGGGCUGGAGCACUGUAGAGGCGGGUGGAAUUCCGGGUGUAGCGGUGGAAUGCGUAGAGAUCCGGAAGAACACCAGUGGCGAAGGCGGCCCGCUGGGCAGUGGCUGACGCUGAGGCGCGACAGCGUGGGGAGCGAACGGG